rnacentral:rRNA from 1 species
CCUACGGGAGGCAGCAGUGGGGAAUCUUCCGCAAUGGGCGAAAGCCUGACGGAGCAACGCCGCGUGAUCGAAUGAAGGCCUUCGGGUUGUAAAGAUCUGUUGACAGGGACGAAUACGCAAUGCGAAUAGUUUUGUGUAUGACGGUACCUGUUUAGAACGCUCCGGCUAACUACGUGCCAGCAGCCGCGGUAAUACGUAGGGAGCACGCGUUGUCCGGAAUUACUGGGCGUAAAGGGCUCGUAGGUGGGCGCUUAAGUCAGGUGUGAACACUCCGGGCUCAACCUGGAGACUGCACUUGAAACUGGGGGGCUGGAGGGCAGGAGAGGAAAGUGGAAUUCCUAGUGUAGCGGUGAAAUGCGUAGAUAUUAGGAGGAACACCAGUGGCGAAGGCGACUUGCUGGAAUGUACCUGACGCUGAGGCGCGAAAGCGUGGGUAGCGAAUGGGAUUAGAUACCCGGGUAGUC